GAUGAACGCUGGCGGCGUGCCUAAUACAUGCCAGUCGAGCGAACAGACGAGAAGCUUGCUCCUUUGACGUUAGCGGCGGACGGGUGAGUAACACGUAGGUAACCUACUUAUAAGACUUGGAUAACUUCGGGAAACCGGUGCCACUACUGGCUAAUACUUCGAACCGCAUGGUUCGAUAGUGAAACAUGGCUUUGCUAUCACUUAUAGAUGGACCUGCGCCGUAUUAGCUAGUUGGUAAGGUAACGGCUUACCAAGGCAACGAUACGUAGCCGACCUGAGAGGGUGAUCGGCCACACUGGAACUGAGACACGGUCCAGACUCCUACGGGAGGCAGCAGUAGGGAAUCUUCCGCAAUGGGCGAAAGCCUGACGGAGCAACGCCGCGUGAGUGAUGAAGGUCUUCGGAUCGUAAAACUCUGUUAUUAGGGAAGAACAAACGUGUAAGUAACUGUGCACGUCUUGACGGUACCUAAUCAGAAAGCCACGGCUAACUACGUG
rnacentral:rRNA from 1 species